rnacentral:lncRNA from 1 species
CUGGAAUCUUCAAACGACGCCUUGUGUGCUUUCUAUCUGCUUUAAAAGACAUUCAUGUCUCAUCAGUCCAGAUGCAUCUGAGGUGGACAGAAAUAGAAGGAUUUGCCACCUAGAGCCGAGAGACUUCACUUACAUUUACAGAAGGAAGAAGCAAGAGGAGGAUUAAGAGGAGGGAGAAUUAAAUCAGCGGAGAGUGCAGAUGUUCUCCACAGCUGCCCAGAUGCCUAGAGGACUGGACUGUACUCUGCAUCCCUGCAAGUGGCAGCAGCAGCAGCAAGAGAAUCUGAAUUUCUCUUCGUUUACAUGGCGGUUACCUGUUGUUUUUCGACUCGGUUUCCAUUACUGGUAAGUACAGUAUGUUCUAUUUUUAUUACAUUUUUUUU